rnacentral:rRNA from 1 species
UACGUAGGGUGCGAGCGUUAAUCGGAAUUACUGGGCGUAAAGCGUGCGCAGGCGGUUUGUUAAGACAGGUGUGAAAUCCCCGGGCUCAACCUGGGAAUGGCGCUUGUAACUGGCAGGCUAGAGUGUGUCAGAGGGAGGUAGAAUUCCACGUGUAGCAGUGAAAUGCGUAGAGAUGUGGAGGAAUACCGAUGGCGAAGGCAGCCUCCUGGGAUAACACUGACGCUCAGGCACGAAAGCGUGGGGAGCAAAAGGG